UACGAAGGGUGCAAACGUUGCUCGGAAUCAUUGGGCGUAAAGCGCACGUAGGCGGCUUCGCAAGUCGGAUGUGAAAUCCCUCGGCUCAACCGAGGACGUGCAUCCGAAACUGCGAAGCUUGAGUACUGAAGAGGAUCGCGGAAUUCCCGGUGUAGAGGUGAAAUUCGUAGAUAUCGGGAGGAACACCAGUGGCGAAGGCGGCGAUCUGGGCAGUUACUGACGCUGAGGUGCGAAAGCGUGGGGAGCAAACAGG
rnacentral:rRNA from 1 species